rnacentral:lncRNA from 1 species
GUCACAGUGAGAGAGCCAUGAUGGAGGACGGGGUCACCCUGCUUGCCCAACGCGGGGAGCUCCGUCAUACAGAACCCCAGUGAGUUCUGGAGGUCACGCUCUGUUUCAUAAAUGAAAAGCUGGGGCAGGGGCCUUGCCACACGGACACUCCUCGGGCCUCACAAGCUCCUGUGGGUGACCAGGCUGCUCCCCACCGCCGGCGUGGGCUGUUGCUACCCUGCACAUCCCUCGGGUGGGCAGCGGUGCUUGAAACGCCAGCUCCCGCCCUUCCUGCCUAGUGGCUUGACGGCUUCAUUGUGCUAACCACCCAGGCAAGCUUGCGUGACUAACGGAGGAGCGUCUCCCCUUAGAUUCUUCCCGCCCGGAGCCGGGGACAGCAGAAAACCACCUGACCUCCAGAUUCUCUCUCGUCCAGUGGAGAUUCUCCUGCCCGAAGGCAGGCGCUCUCCAAGGUCCCUCUCCCCAGAAGAGCCACGAUCCCAGGAAGCCGGCUUGUGCAGAGGAAAGAACCGCACCUCGUUGUCAGAACAACCCCAGCUCUGCCACCUACACCUUGUGUGACCUUGGGCAAGUCAGAGAAACUUCUCAGAUGCACAAUCUCGUCACGCUCCUAGUUUCCAAGCCCACACACCUGAGGGUCAAUGUCCCUUAUUGCACCCCCACCCCAUACCGACUCCAUCAGCAAGUCCUGUUUGUUCUUGCCCCAAGUAUCUCUCCUGUCUGCCCAUUCCCUGCAUCUCCCCCGUCACCACCCCGGGCCAGUCCCCGUUACCCGCACCUGGAGGUCUGCACCAGCCCCACCUGCACUCCGGCGUCCACUCUCGCCCCCAUUGCUGUGAUCUCCACACAACCACGAGCGGCCUUGAGAGCGCAGCGAGGCCGUGAGGCUGCGCAGAGCCCCUCAGUCAGCAGGACCGCGCUCACGGUUCAGUGGGCCGUCUGCUAGAGGCUUUCCGCAGUUCAUUCCUUCUCCCCACACAACUCUGAAGGUACGAUGAUGUACAAAAGAGGAAGCAAAGCACUGAACACAGAACCUGGCAAGCUGUAAUCAUCUGGCACAUCUGAACUGUCUGGGUGGUGUCUCCGCUGCUACCGCCUCAGUGCAGGUUUCCAUCAUCUGUUGCCUGUUGACCAUGAAACUCCCAACUCAAUCCUCUCACUCCAGCCUUCCUCAAACCCCAGUGUCUUCCACAUACUAGGACCAGAGUGAUCCUCUGAACAUAAAACUGAUUGAUAACAGAUCAUCCAAAUGGACUAAUAAUUGACCAAUUAAUAAUUGACAAUCAAAAAAUUCUCUCCUCAAAAAAAAAGGCAAGAAAACUGGCAAAAAAUGUCAAAAUCAACUUUUCUAGAACUCUGAAAGUUAACCACCAAAGGCUUGGAAUAAUCCGGGAAGCUUUUAUUUAAUUAAAAUGGCUGAGUCUUGGUAUGAACAGCAAACUUUGUGGUGUUUCAACUUGCCCUAUUCCUAUCUCCCUAUCUCCCACGUGGUGGUUCCCUAGAAAACUAACAAUCACAGUAAAAGACAGCAGCCUGGUAGCUAUCAGAGAGAGAGAAAUGGAGUCGGGGGUCCUUUAAAGCCUCAUUCCCAUGGAAUCGUCAUUAGUUAGCCUCUCUAGUAGUCCCCUGGAAGACUGCACUUAUAAGGUCAUCUUUAUUAGACCUGACUUAGAGCUCACCUAGUGCAAAAG